rnacentral:lncRNA from 1 species
GCUGCGGGUCCCGCUAUCGCAAACCUCGAUAAAGUGCAGCGUGCAUCGUGCCCUGCCGUACGGUGUGCGCUACAGCGGGCACGUAGACAGCCCUCUACGCUCUUAUUUUUACAGUUAUUUGUGUUUACGUUUGGGAUUUCUAGCGUGUGCGUGACCCAAAGGGCACGUUGUCGGCUGCUGAAUACCAUUCAUGCUUAAGGAGAGCACUGAGAGGUAUCCGGGAUGCCCCAGAGGCAGGUGGAGGGGUGGAUUCCCCCCUGCCUCCUCCCAGGAGUUGGUGAAUGGACUUAAAAUGUCCUCCUGAUGUUAAAGCAGGAACCCACUGGGAAGAUCAGUAAAUCCUUGUCUGUUCAAAGAUGUAAAACGUAUCCAAGACUGAAUGAUUAUGUGGCACUGGCUAGGCAUGGUCCAAAUCCCCUAGCAGGGUAGGUAGAGUGCAUGGCUUAUUCUCAGGAGAAUGUUAUUUACCUAACUUGUUUGCUUUUGGUGUGAUACGUCCAGGUGUGCAGGAAGUUUUAUAACAACUUCCUUGGAGCUCGAGCCUGCCAAAAUGUUUUGUAAUCUUCAUUCCCUGGUUACUUGGGUAAUAUACUGUUUCUGGAGAUGUAUUAUUGCAUUUCCAAUCAUCAGUUACAGUGCAGACAGGAUGACAUGGCAUGGUGAUGGUAACUCAGAACUUAGUAAUAAUUUCUGUGUAGAAAAUACCAGUUACAUCCACUGAAUGUAGCAGAUAUACCAUGGGCUAGCUGUAUCGUGUUUUAAACACCUGCCUUUACAUUUCAGUGGGAGCUUGAGGUCAGUGCAGACCAUGUAGACAUUAGGUGCUGCAUGCCUGCUUCUGCCAGUGAGGCCCAUUGCCCCUGGCAGGAGUGGAUGGGAAUCCUGUAACAGCAGUGCUCUCCUUAAUUCUCUCCCAGUAGUUUGCGUGAAAAGAAACUUGAAUCAAAUUCAAAAGUGACUCUGUGACAGUACUCAGCUGGGAGUGGUUUUUCCUUUCCUCUGCUUCUUGAUAUUCACCCGCACUGCGCUUUCAGUCUCACAUUGGAGACUGGCUUUGAGCACUAGGAAUAAAACGAUCAGUAAGGGGUUGGUAGAAGUAAAGUGACUGACCUCUUGAUCAUGCAGGAUCUUUUCUGCAAGCUUUUUGUAGAGCUGUUUUCAGGAACAGAAAUGGUGGGAGUGUUGGUAUGGUGUAUGCUGAUGUAGUGAACCUGAAACACCUGGCUUAGGAUCAUGCCCUGUCCGAGGUGGCAUAUUCUGGAGUUCACACUGUUAAUCUUAUAAUUCUCUUGCACUAGAUUAGAAAAAUGAUAUCUUAAUUACUGAGGUACUUGUAGGGUAUGAUAACAGUGAUUAAACACUGAGUUGUAUUUCUCUAUUCAUCUUUACCUUCACCUUUGCUUGACUUUGCCAGUGAGUCAUCUUGUCAUGUAAGAAGAAACCUUCCUGCCCCUUAUUCUCUAAAUCUGUGUAAUAGGACCAACAAUAUUUAUCUGUUUGGACAGAUGACAUAACAAAGAAUAUUUGUAAAACACUUUUAGGUUCUUAAAUUGUUUACGCCAUCUGACAGCGGUGUUUUAUUUACUUACUCUUAUUAACUUUGGACUUGCAAUUCCUCUUUUUCCUCAGCAGAUAGGACUUAGGAUAAACUCACAGAGAACUCACGGUCGUAUCUUUUCUCACUGAUGCAUUGGUGCGACACGUCAGCAGAGGAAGUACUUUACUUAAAACUACAAAUGAAGUGCCACAUUUCGCAUGCACAAUAGCCCUAGGAAGAUAUUUGUAUGAGACAUUAAUGAAUUGUAAUUACUUCAGGCAAAAAAAAAAAAAAGAGGGGGUGGGUGGGAAAUAAGUCAUUUUAGCUCCUUGUUGCUAUUAUUUUUCUUAGAAAUUAUUCUUCAACAGAGCUGCAUGUUAGGUAGAAAACCUUUUAAGCAAAAUUCAGAUUAUCAUCUGGAUGGGUAAUUUACAUGAGGUAAAGCAGAAAUAAAAUUUCAGUAUCUCUGGCAGCUGAAGUUGCUCUUAGUAUUUAAUUCUUAGAGGUCUCUCAGUUUAUUCCAGAACAUCUUGGAUAUUAGUGGUAGUAGAUUAAAGGGACACUUGCUGAAGUUUUUGUUUUUACUACUUUGGAGCUGAAAGGCAUAAUGUUUCUAAGGACUGGCAGAGGCAAAAAUUACUAGUGGUGAAAAGCCCUCAUCUGUACAUUAUAGAAUGUUAUGUUCUGAUUGCAGUCACGGGUUCUGAAAGGGUGGUCAGGCACUGGAGUGGGCUGCCCAGAGAGGUGGUGGAGUCACCGACCCUGGAGGUGUUCAAGGAACGUUUGGACGUUGUGUUGAGGGACAUGGUUUAGUGAGAACCAUUGGUGAUGGGUGGAUGGGUGGACUGGAUGAUCCUGUGGAUCUCUUCCAACCUUUGUGAUUCUGUGAUUAUCUUCCAAAAGUGCACCACUUUGGAAAAAUAAAUUCAGCCACCAGUUUAAUAAUAAAUAUUUUUAAAGCAACUGUGAUAUUAGUGUCUUGCUGAAAGUUUAGUCUAGAUGCUUUGUUGAAAUUGAAUGAAAGGCUCUUUUCAUCCUAACGCUUCAAUGAGAAAAAAACUUUAAUUUCUGAUUAUUCUAAUUCAAAAGUUCAAUUAUGUGGGCCAAUUACUAAAGGCCUCACAGUAAUGAAAUAAUGUCUUAAAAAUUCCUGUUUCAAGUUCAAAUUUACUUAUUACAAGAAUUAAAAUUCUAAGUAUUAUACAGUGCUAAUUAGUAAAAGUUAAAAUAUACAUGAAUUCCAAUUACAGCUUUAUUUUCUACGUGCUGUAAACAAAGCUGUGCUUGACAGGUAGUAGGUAGCAAUGACUAUUUAGAAGCAAUACAAGCAAAGAUGAAUUUUGAUUUAAAUUGCAAUUCGUAACAUUUCAUUGAUUUUAAUCCAUUAUUUUAUAAUCGGAGCUCUUCAAGCUCUGAUUAUGCUGUAGGACCUCUGUUUCUGACUCUUAAGUUCUCUCUUGUUUUAUCAUCCCAAAGACUAUUGGGCUUUGAGGGUAGGUGCUCAAAAAUUAGGAAGAGCUGGAAUAAAUGUGUGAAUUUCCUGGCUUAUUUAUCGCAUAGCUUUCUAAUGCAUACGUGUUGGCUGUUCUGAAUGUACUGCUUCUCCAGAAGAUGUGGUUGUGUAUGACAGUGGUGCUCUGUACUCAUGGUGAUACUGAUCUGGCCAUA